AUUUUUCUUCAUAUUAUCAGCGGAGGAAACAAGGCUUCUCUCUCGUGAAAGAAAAACAUGAGGUUGGAAUAUGUUAAGACCUUUACACAGUGUUAAAUUUGAGUAAGGUGUUUGCAUAAAAUCAUUUCCAUCACAUCCUGAUUAUGACUGGUUAUGUUUCAUUUUAUUAUUCCUUGUGUGUUUGGAAAGAGGUUCUGGUGAGAGAAUACAAAGGUAGUCUGUGUUGCAAAAGAAGCCCAAGGCUGUAGAUGGAAGAAUUGCAUAUGCAACUUUGCAAGAAACUUGGGGACAAGGAAAAUCUUGUCAGGUCAUGCAAGUGUUAUGCAAAAAAAGCUUUGGAAACACCCUCUACACAUGAUCGACCCCCAUGGGAAGCCAGUUUCAGGUGUCACUACCUCUGCUGCACAGAGGGCUUGCCUCUUUGUGGUUGUUCCCUCCAUGAAGAGACAGUACUGGUGAGAUGCAGGAGUCCCUGGGCUUGGAGAUAAAGGCAGGGCCCCUUGGUGGGUGGCCCAGGUCGAAGAGUGGCAGUCAGCUUAUGGUGCCGGGUAACGUUCUGGUAACACCCAAAGUGCCCGCUUCCUGGCCUGAAGCGCUCUCCUCCUCCACCCGACCGGAACCGAAGAGUGGCUGCAACGAGGUACUGAGGUCAGGACUGUCAGGGGCCUAUGCUGCUUGUGGCACGCAGCCUUUUUCCAGGCGCCGCCCCUGCCACCGUCUCCACCUUGUACCUGUGCGGCAGCAGCUGGACAGCGCCAACAUCGCGGCUCCCCAGCUGGGCAGACGAAAGCGCAUGCGCAAGCGGCCUGUCACAAGCGCCAGCGCUGAGCCCGGGCUCGCGUCACAGGAACAGCCACCGUUGCCUGGGGAACGAUCACAGUGGCUUCCCAAAGCAGCGGUCCUCUGUGGCAGUGCCUCAGCAUCGGGCAACGGACUCUUUCUCCGCGCGAUCAUCGCUGAGUCCUGCGAUUUUAGGAAUCCGGCAGGCCGAGCCAGGCAGAAGAAAGAUCUGUCGGGGCUUCAGGGAUGUCCACGGCGCUCCCCAGGAAUCACCGAGAUGCUGCAGACCUGCCCAAACAGUGUGAGGGUGCCUCUCGUUGAAAGCCCUCGUGACUGGGAUUUCCAGUCCGCUUACCUUGUGAUGUCGGUCAACGUUUGGCUCAGUUUGGGGCUGCGGCGCUCGGCAUUCUUCGUUUUCCUGGUUCUUCAAAAAGCCUCGGCGUAGUGGGGUCUGGCUGCCACCUGCAGGUGUCCUAAUCACCUGCUCAUUCCGAGGUGUGUCCCUCCUCGAGAAACAAGAAGGGUGCAACACACCUACAAUCAGUUUUCUCCAGGAUCCUUUGGUCCUGUCGCAAAUCUAAGGCUGUAGGGACCCAGCCGCCCCAUCCUCAUGACCCCUAGAGAGGCUCCAGGCUGUCCUUAAACUUAUGUGUAUUUCCUCUACUUAGGAUUCUUGUUAAAAGCCAGAUUGUUAUUCCUGAGUUGGGGUGAGCCUGAAAUUCUGUAUUUCUUGUAGGCACUCAGUGGAUGCCACUUAUUAGGGGUCCUGAUUGACAUUUGGAGAAGCAAGUCUCAGUAUUGUUUUUUUGAAGUUAGAUGUUGAAUCUGCAACUAAAAGUCUUUUCUGAAUAUCAUCUUCAUUUUUCUUCCUACUUACUUCCCUAAAAAAUUAAAAAACACUGAUUGCCAAAAUAAAAAGAAACAG
ensembl:lncRNA